GACGAACGCUGGCGGCGUGCCUAAUACAUGCAAGUCGAGCGGAUCUUCAUUAGCUUGCUUUUGAAGAUCAGCGGCGGACGGGUGAGUAACACGUGGGCAACCUGCCUGUAAGACUGGGAUAACUUCGGGAAACCGGAGCUAAUACCGGAUAAUCCUUUUCCUCUCAUGAGGAAAAGCUGAAAGACGGUUUCGGCUGUCACUUACAGAUGGGCCCGCGGCGCAUUAGCUAGUUGGUGAGGUAACGGCUCACCAAGGCGACGAUGCGUAGCCGACCUGAGAGGGUGAUCGGCCACACUGGGACUGAGACACGGCCCAGACUCCUACGGGAGGCAGCAGUAGGGAAUCUUCCGCAAUGGACGAAAGUCUGACGGAGCAACGCCGCGUGAGCGAUGAAGGCCUCCGGGUCGUAAAGCUCUGUUGUCAGGGAAGAACAAGUAUCGGAGUAACUGCCGGUACCUUGACGGUACCUGACCAGAAAGCCACGGCUAACUACGUGCCAGCAGCCGCGGUAACAC
rnacentral:rRNA from 1 species